rnacentral:rRNA from 1 species
UCUACGGGCGGCAGCAGUGAGGAAUAUUGGUCAAUGGACGAGAGUCUGAACCAGCCAAGUAGCGUGAAGGAUGACUGCCCUAUGGGUUGUAAACUUCUUUUAUAAAGGAAUAAAACGAGGCACGUGUGCCUUUUUGCAUGUACUUUAUGAAUAAGGAUCGUCUAACUCCGUGCCAGCAGCCGCGGUAAUACGGAGGAUGCGAGCGUUAUCCGGAUUUAUUGGGUUUAAAGGGUGCGUAGGCGGAUCGUUAAGUCAGUGGUCAAAUUGAGGGGCUCAACCCCUUCCCGCCAUUGAAACUGGCGCUGUUGAGUGGAAGAGAAGUAUGCGGAAUGCGUGGUAUAGCGGUGAAAUGCAUAGAUAUCACGCAGAACCCCGAUUGCGAAGGCAGCAUGCCGGCUUCCGACUGACGCUGAAGCACGAAAGCGUGGGGAUCGAACAGGAUUAGAUACCCGUGUAGUC